rnacentral:rRNA from 1 species
CCGCUGGCGGCAUGCCUAACACAUGCAAGUCGAACGCUUGUCGGGCUUCGGUCCGGCAGGAGUGGCGCACGGGUGAGUAGCGCGUGGGAACCUGCCCUGUUGUGGGGGAUAACCGAGGGAAACUUCGGCUAAUACCGCAUGCGCCCGCGGAGUUGAUCCGCGGGGAAAGAUUUAUCGCAGCAGGAGGGGCCCGCGUCGGAUUAGCUGGUUGGCGGGGUAACGGCCCACCAAGGCGAUGAUCCGUAGCUGGUCUGAGAGGAUGAUCAGCCACACUGGGACCGAGACACGGCCCAGACUCCUACGGGAGGCAGCAGUGGGGAAUAUUGGACAAUGGGGGCAACCCUGAUCCAGCAAUGCCGCGUGAGUGAUGAAGGCCUUCGGGUUGUAAAGCUCUUUCGCCCGCGACGAUGAUGACGGUAGCGGGAGAAGAAGCCCCGGCUAACUUCGUGCCAGCAGCCGCGGUAAUACGAAGGGGGCGAGCGUUGUUCGGAAUCACUGGGCGUAAAGGGCGCGUAGGCGGCCCUCUUUUGUCGCGUGUGAAAGCCCCGGGCUCAACCUGGGAACGGCGCGCGAAACGGGGGGGCUGGAGUUCGGGAGAGGAGAGUGGAAUUCCCAGUGUAGAGGUGAAAUUCGUAGAUAUUGGGAAAGAACACCGGUGGCGAAGGCGGCUCUCUGGACCGAGACUGACGCUGAAGCGCGAAAGCGUGGGGAGCAACAGGAUUAGAUACCCUGGUAGUCCACGCCGUAAAC